AUUGAACGCUGGCGGCAGGCUUAACACAUGCAAGUCGAGCGGGGUGAUGGUGCUUGCACUAUCACUUAGCGGCGGACGGGUGAGUAAUGCUUAGGAAUCUGCCUAUUAGUGGGGGACAACAUCUCGAAAGGGAUGCUAAUACCGCAUACGUCCUACGGGAGUAAGCAGGGGAUCACUUGUGACCUUGCGCUAAUAGAUGAGCUUAAGUCGGAUUAGAUAGUUGGUGGGGUAAAGGCCUACCAAGGCGACGAUCUGUAGCGGGUCUGAGAGGAUGAUCCGCCACACUGGGACUGAGACACGACCCAGAGUCCUACGGGAGGCAGCAGUGGGGAAUAUUGGACAAUGGGGGGAACCCUGAUCCAGCCAUGCCGCGUGUGUGAAGAAGGCCUUAUGGUUGUAAAGCACUUUAAGCGAGGAGGAGGCUCUUUUGGUUAAUACCCAAGAUGAGUGGACGUUACUCGCAGAAUAAGCACCGGCUAACUCUGUGCCAGCAGCCGCAGUAA
rnacentral:rRNA from 1 species